rnacentral:lncRNA from 10 species
UGAAGUUUAAAUUAUAAUGCAUCAGUCAUCCUUGAAAACCCAGGCAAUCAAUAUACACAAAUACAGAAUUCUGUAAACAUUAUUUUUGUCCACAGUUCAUUUAUACAUGCUUAUAGAAAUUACUCAUGCUAAACUGCAAUUUAUCAAAUCGCUGACAACAAAACAAAUCACCCUGUCAUAUUAUACUUAAAAUGUCAAUGUUUAAUACUAACUUCUUUCUACAUAAAGAUAUGACAUUUGAUUGCAAGUACUUAGUGAUACCAGGCAUAGUGAGAAGGAAAAGUGUUUCAUCUUAAGAAUCACUAUGCCAGUUAACAAAUAUACACAUAAUAAAUUACUAUUUCCUACAUUAAAAUGAUCUUCCAACAUGCUGAGAAAUUUAACACAUCUACCAAGUGGAAGUUGUUCAUAUAUCACCAUAGAGAUCAGAAUCAUCGCCUUUAGGUACACAUACUUAAAAUAAUCGCAAAGCCGUAUGCUCCCAUUAUAGAUCUCUUUCGCUUUUUACACAAAUGCAUUAACCAUGGGGCAAUCCUCUAUCAUUGAAAAUAGGUAGGAAGCACUUCUGAAUAAAUUACUUAAGAAUAAUGUGUAUUACACAUAGGCAUUCAUAGGAAUUUACAAAUGAUUUGGCAAUGUAUUUCAGGGAACUAAAUGCUAAAAUUUUGUCCAUUCUGUUAAAUUUUUAUUUUAAGAUUAGUUUUGUUUCUAUUUUCCAUUAUCUUUUUAUCAUAAAGUUAUUCAGAUCCUUCAGAGCACAGAGAAAAUUUUCAUAAUUGAAAUGGAAAAGUUAUUCCUUUGGAUGCAAAACAUGGAAAAUAAUCUGAUUACAUUAAUAACUUAAAAUGUUUAAUAACUGAUAAUUGUAAAAAGGUAAUGUUUAUAAUUAAUGCGAUAUUCUUGGGGGUUAUAAAUGUCUUAGGAAUAAAAUUUGGAGCAGGUAGAGGUGUAUUUUGCAAAUGAAUCACAAUGGAGCAGAGAAUCGAUUUUAAAUUUAAAGAGCCUUCAUUUGCCUUUUAAAAUAUCAACAGAGAGUCAACUGCUUUACCUUAUUCUUUCAUUUGUAUUCCUACCUAGUUCCACAGCCUCAGCUUUUUCUAGCACUUCAAUGUGAGACUCCCUCAUAUUCCCAAAUGAGUAUAGAAGGAUAGGGCAUAUUUAGAGAGGCAUGGAGUUUUCAUGAAGUAGGAGCUGUUUAUAACUUUCUUCCUAAAAAUAAAAAGUGGGUUCUCACUCAUGAAUAUUAGACUCCCUUUUAUAGAAAAAGUUUUGCAAACUUAUUCAGGACAGAUGUUCGGACAGAUACCAGUUUGCCUCUGAAGAAAAUAGGGCAGUUUAAAGUGGGUAUGUUCUUCAAAAUUGCAAGACAAUCACGAUCCUCUUAUUUGCAAUUCUUCCUAACCCCAAUUCCCAUAACUCCUGAACCUACAAAUGUUUUCAUUAUUUCUUUGACCUCAAUCAUUUCUUUCUCUUUGAUUUUUACAUCCCCUCUGAACUGUCAUUGGAUAGUUGAUUACCGUUUAUUUUUACUUUGAAAUUUUAAAUUUUCCUCAGUGCUUCAACCAUUUGAGUGCAAACAUCCACUUUUCAUUUGAAAAAUCACAGGACUUAUUGCUCUUUGAAGAAUCACUAAGUCAUAAAAAAAGCUUCAUUUCUAGGAUAUAUGUAAAAUUAUGACAAUAGCUGACAUGGUAAUAAAAAGACCCUGUGGCAUCUUCUGGUUUCUUCUUACUUUUCUCUUUCUUAUGAUUGAUUCUAGGAAGAAACAUUGUGCAUUGAACUUCAAAGCUGAGAUAUGAGACUCUAGCUUACUUCUAAGAAAUGCUUGAUUUCAUACAAAACAGUAGUUAUUUCUUUUCCUGGAAUCUUCGAGAUUCUCUCCUCAUUCAGGCUUGAACAAAACCCGCACAAAGAAGACUCUCAGGAAAUGCUGGCUGAAUGACAGAAUGAACAUUGAUAAAUGAAGACUUCUUCAAAUAACUGAUGCUAGACAUCUCUAAAUAUAUCAGAAAUAACAUGUGACCAUGACAUCAUUCAUCAUUUUUCCAUCAAAACAUUUGAAAAUAACUUGGAUUCAUUUAUUAGAGCUUUAUUUUCCCACAUCUUGCAGUACCCUAGAGUUCUACAGUAAUUAACCUUAUGCUGAAUGGCAGAGGACAUGCACUAAGCUCCUAUUUAAAAUCUAUUCAUGAUGCAUUUUAAAUAUUCAGUAGAGACUUCUUAAACAUGCAGCCAUAGUCUAUUGAAAAUGGAUUUCCUAAAGCCAGGAGAUUGGAUAUUAAUAUCUGGCAUUCGUAUAAAGACAGGUUUUUGUUAACCUAUUAUAAAAAGGACUGAUGAUGUGAUUAUAUACUGUUUACUAGCUCACUUAUAUUUCUGUGCUAAUAAUUACUGUAACCCAUUUGUUUAGUUUUUUUAUUUUAUUUUCAUUAAGCAUUGUUUUUAAAAUUUUUUUAUCUUAGCUUAUGUUUGAUUUAUGUUUUUGAUUGAAUAAAGGUUGUUUGUUAAUAUAGAAU